GUUGAACGCUGGCGGCAGGCUUAACACAUGCAAGUCGAACGAGUGGUGGACGGGUGAGUAAUGCUUGGACAUCUAGCUUAUGGAGGGGGAUAACUACGGGAAACUGUAGCUAAUACCGCGUACCAUAGGAUGAGCCCACGUGGGAUGAGGUAGUUGGUGAGGGAAAGGCUCACCAAGCCGACGAUCUCUAGCUGGUCUGAGAGGAUGACCAGCCACACUGGGACUGAGACACGGCCCAGACUCCUACGGGAGGCAGCAGUGGGGAAUAUUGCGCAAUGGGGGAAACCCUGACGGAGCCACGCCGCGUGUAUGAAGAAGGCAUUAGGGUUGUAAAGUACUUUCAGCGGGGAGGCGUUACCCGCAGAAGAAGCCACGGCUAACUCCGUGCCAGCCGCCGCGGUAAUAC
rnacentral:rRNA from 1 species